UGGGGAAUUUUGGACAAUGGGGCGAAAGCCUGAUCCAGCAAUGCCGCGUGUGUGAAGAAGCCUUCGGGUUGUAAAGCACUUUUGUCCGGAAAGAAAGUCCUUGGCUCUAAUACAGUCGGGGGAUGACGGUACCGGAAAGAAUAAGCACCGGCUAACUACGUGCCAGCAGCCGCGGUAAUACGUAGGGUGCAAGCGUUAAUCGGAAUUACUGGGCGUAAAAGCGUGCGCAGGCGGUUUGCUAAGACCGGAUGUGAAAUCCCCGGGGCUCAAACCCUGGGAACUGCAUUGGUGACUGGCAGGCUAGAGUAUGGCAGAGGGGGGUAGAAUUCCACGUGUAGCAGUGAAAUGCGUAGAGAUGUGGAGGAAAUACCGAUGGCGAAGGCAGCCCCCUGGGCCAAAUACUGACGCUCAUGCACGAAAAGCGUGGGGAGCAAACAGGAUUAGAUACCCUGGUAGUCCACGCCCUAAACGAUGUCAACUAGUU
rnacentral:rRNA from 1 species